AGUAAAGUCAGCUAAUUAAGCUUUUGGGCCCAUACCCCAAACAUGUUGGUUAGACCCCUUCCUUUGCUA
rnacentral:tRNA from 2 species